rnacentral:rRNA from 1 species
GGGUCAGUAGGUUGGUCGUGCCACCGGUACGUACUGGUCUCACUGAUUCCUCCUUCCUGAAGAACCGUAAUGCCAUUAAUUUGGUGUUGCGGGGAAACAGGACUGUUACUUUGAAAUAAUUAGAGUGUUUAAAGCAAGCUAACGCCUGAAUACAUUAGCAUGGAAUAAUGAAACAGGACGAUCGAUCCUAUUUUGUUGGUUUCUAGGAUUGACGUA